rnacentral:lncRNA from 1 species
GUGAAGAUUCCAAUUUUCCAACAUUCUAAAGCUUUUAAAGGCCAACAGAGAUCAUAUUGCAGAAUGCAGAGCUGGAGGUGGAGAUGGAGAGGGAAGAUUGGCCAGCACCUGCAAAGGCCUUGAGUUUACAUAUCUGUGAAGGUUGAAUCAACUCCAUCUUGGAUGCUAAUCUGCCAUGUUAGCUUCUGAUUAACCCGUUUUGGGAAAGCCUCUGAGAUUUCCAGUUUAUCUGUUGUUCGUCGUGUAAGAGGACUGUACUUCCUGCAAAUCCUGCCCUCAGGGCAAUUUCCUACCUAUUCUCUGUGAAACAUGUAUGCCUCUCCCCUAGAGUAUAUAAUCUCUGGGUCUGGAGGCUAUUGGUGCCGCAGGGAUCCACCAUCUUGUCUUUCCACCACCCAAGACACAGGCAUGGUUUCU